GACAGAGGGUGCAAACGUUGUUCGGAAUUACUGGGCGUAAAGCGAGUGUAGGCGGUGUGGUAAGUCGGAUGUGAAAGCCCCGGGCUCAACCCGGGAAGUGCAUUCGAUACUGCCACGCUAGAGUAUCGGAGAGGUUGGUGGAAUUCUCGGCGUAGAGGUGAAAUUCGUAGAUAUCGAGAGGAACACCGGUGGCGAAGGCGGCCAACUGGACGAAUACUGACGCUGAGACGCGAAAGCGUGGGGAGCAAACAGG
rnacentral:rRNA from 1 species